rfam:Ailuropoda melanoleuca scaffold192_120, whole genome shotgun sequence.
GGCUACGGCCACACCACCCUGAACACGCCCCAUCUCCUCUGAUCUCGGAAGCUAAGCAGGGUCGGGCCUGGUUAGUACUUGGAUGGGAGACACGGGAGCGCCCAGCUUGCCU